UUUUUUUUUGUACAUUACCGUGGGACAUAUUCCCACAAGUGAUACUACAACUAGUUUGUGUUUUGUGGUUUAAACUAUUGAAUGACUAAAAGAUAGCAAGAGAAAAAUUAACAACCAACGACUUUAGAAUAGCCUAAACCCUUAAUUCAAGUCCUUACUCCAACUUUCGAUUGACUCCUUCACCUAUUUCAUUUACUAUGACAUUUUCUGUAAAUAACAUGCACCAUGUGACAUCAUCUUGAAUAUG
rnacentral:misc_RNA from 1 species